UACGUAGGGCGCAAGCGUUGUCCGGAAUUAUUGGGCGUAAAGAGCUCGUAGGCGGCUUGUCACGUCGGGUGUGAAAGACCGGGGCUUAACCCCGGUUCUGCAUUCGAUACGGGCUGGCUAGAGUGUGGUAGGGGAGAUCGGAAUUCCUGGUGUAGCGGUGAAAUGCGUAGAUAUCGGGAGGAACGCCGGUGGCGAAAGCGAUUCUCUGGCCCGUUCCUGACACUGAGGCGCGAAAGCUAGGGGAGCAAACAGG
rnacentral:rRNA from 1 species